AACGCGAAGAACCUUACCUGGACUAGAAUGUGAGGGAAGGGCUUCUAAUAGAGUCCGUCCGGGAAACCGGACCCAAAACGAAGGUGCUGCAUGGCUGUCGUCAGCUCGUGUCGUGAGAUGUUGGGUUAAGUCCCGCAACGAGCGCAACCCUUAUCAACAGUUGCCAUCAUUAAGUUGGGAACUCUGUUGAGACUGCCGUUGAUAAAACGGAGGAAGGUGGGGAUGAUGUCAAGUCAUCAUGGCCUUUAUGUUCAGGGCUACACACGUGCUACAAUGGCCGGUACAAAACGUCGCAAUCCCGCAAGGGGGAGCUAAUCGCAAAAACCGGUCUCAGUUCGGAUUGAAGUCUGCAACUCGACUUCAUGAAGUUGGAAUCGCUAGUAAUCGCGGAUCAGAACGCCGCGGUGAAUACGUUCCCGGGUCUUGUACACACCG
rnacentral:rRNA from 1 species